AAACAUCUUGAUGAUCUUGGCUUUUCUUCGUUUUCUUCCUCAAACUGUUGACUUGCCGUGUCUGCGGACCAAUGCUCACUUAACAGGAAUAAAACGGAUUGAUCUAUUUCAUCUUGAAGUGUGUUAAUAGGAAUAUAUCCAGCAACCUGCCUGAAGUUUUGCCAGAACAACUGCAACAUUGGACCACAUGCAUUGGAACCUUAUUAUUUAAGGACUACCAAUGGGGAAGGGCUGUAUUUAAUUGUUGCUGUUAACUAUCUUGGUACCAGUUAUGCCAACAUUUACCUACAGCAGAGGCCCUGCCGACUUUAAACAAUCAUAGCUGCAUUGAGUGUAGCGGGCACAGGCUGCGCAUACAGCUGUCAAUGUGACAUCUUUUGUAACUUUUGAUUCUCCCAGAGAGCCAGCACAGCUCCAUGACACACAC